CUACAAACCUGACUCAGUUACACCAGCGCUGUCAGGAGGAAUGUCAGAAAUUACAUGUCAGGAAUUGUGAAAAACUGUUUUUUAAUGUAUUUGGUUAAGGUGUAUGUAAACGCCCGACUUCAGCUGUGUAUACAGGGUCAGUUACAGGCUCAGUAGCUAUAUACAGGGUCAGUAGCUAUAUACAGGGUCAGUAGCUAUAUACAGGGUCAGUAGCUAUAUACAGGGUCAGUAGCUAUAUACAGGGUCAGUGGCUAUAUACAGGGUCAGUAGCUAUAUACAGGGUGAGUUCCAGGGUUAGUAGCUAUAUACAGGGUCAGUAGCUAUAUACAGGGUCAGUAGCUAUAUACAGGGUCAGUAGCUAUAUACAGGGUCAGUAGCUAUAUACAGGGUCAGUAGCUAUAUACAGGGUCAGUAGCUAUAUACAGGGUCAGUAGCUAUAUACAGGGUCAGCAGCUAUAUACAGGGUCAGUAGUUAUAUACAGGGACAGUUCCUGGGUCAGUAGCUAUAUACAGGGUCAGUAGCUAUAUACAGGGACAGUUCCUGGGUCAGUAGCUAUAUACAGGGUCAGUAGCUAUAUACAGGGUCAGUAGCUAUAUACAGGGUCAGUAGCUGUAUACAGGGUCAGUAGCUAUAUACAGGGUCAGUAGCUAUAUACAGGGUCAGUAGCUAUAUACAGGGUCAGUAGCUAUAUACAGGGACAGUAGCUAUAUACAGGGUCAGUUCCAGGGUCAGUAGCUAUAUACAGGAUCAGUAGCUAUAUACAGGGUCAGUAGCUAUAUACAGGGUCAGUAGCUAUAUACAGGGUCAGUAGCUAUAUACAUUGUCAGCAGCUAUAUACAGGGUCAGUAGCUAUAUACAGGGACAGUUCCUGGGUCAGUAGCUAUAUACAGGGUCAGUAGCUAUAAACAGGGUCAGUAGCUAUAUACAGGGUCAGUUCCAGGGUCAGUAGCUAUAUACAGGGUCAGUAGCUAUAUACAGGGUCAGUAGCUAUAUCCAGGGUCAGUAGCUAUAUACAG
rnacentral:lncRNA from 1 species